AACGUAGGGGACAAGCGUUAUCCGGAUUUACUGGGCGUAAAGCGCCCGUAGGCGGCUUAAUAAGUUGGACGUGAAAGCUCCCGGCUUAACUGGGAGAGGCCGUUCAAAACUGUAAGGCUAGAGUGAGGCAGAGGAGCGCGGAAUUCCCGGUGUAGCGGUGAAAUGCGUAGAUAUCGGGAGGAACAUCGAUGGCGAAGGCAAUCACCUGGGCCUGAACUGACACUGAGACACGAAAGCGUGGGUAGCAAACAGG
rnacentral:rRNA from 1 species